AGUUGGGGGCAUCAGUAUUCUGAAGCGAGAGGUGAAAUUCUUGGGCCUUCGGAAGACUAACAACUGCGAAAGCAUUUGCCUAGGAUGUUCUCUUUAAUCAAGAACGAAAGUUGGGGGAUCGAAGACGAUCAGAUACCGUCGUAGUCUCAACUAUAAACUAUGCCAGCUAGGGAUUGGUGGACGUUUAUUUACGACUCCAUCAGCACCUUAUGAGAAUCAAAGCAUUUGGGUUCCGGGGGGAGUAUGGUCGCAAGGCUGAAACUUAAAGGAAUUGACGGGAGGGCACCCCCAGAGUGGAGCCUGUGGCUUA
rnacentral:rRNA from 1 species